UGAGCGCCCCCCCCCCCCUUUUUUCCUCUCCUUCCCCGGCCCAGGCCCAGCUCCAGAUCUCAUACCCUCCAUCCUCCCACCCCAACCCCCAAAUAUCGGCGCGCACUCACUCCGCUAAACAAAGUUUAGCUAAGACUUUAUCCGAGGCAAGAAGGGGCCAGAGGAGGGAGAAGAGGCGGCCGCCGCCCCCAGGAGAACACCCGCCUCCUUUCUCUUCCUUGUCGCUCUUGCCAGCUGCAGUCGAGUUUGGGGGGAAAGGGGGGAGUGUGAAGCGGUCGUCCUUCCCCCCACCCCCCCAACACACACACACCCUUCUGCCGUCCGUUGGGGUGUUGGUUGGGGUGUGUAUGUGCCUGUGUUCUGUUGGGAAAGGAGGGUAUCCUCGCUUUUUCGUAGAUUGGAUAGCCUGGUCCUGUGAGGGGUGGUGCAGACUCUGGUCGCGGAGGCUGCUGCGCCUUCUUCUGGGGGUACUGCAGAGGCUACCCGCGGGUUCCUCCGUGGGGGGAAGUCCCGGCCUUGAUCCCUACCUCCUCUCCUUUUUCUUUCUCCUCCUUCUCUGGCCCUCCCUCCCGAUACUGCAGUGUGAAACAACGUUCAGAAUACGGUACACGAAAGUCUCCUCCGUUGAUGGAGCUCCCUCUCCUUGUGUGUGCCUCUCUUCCUCCCCUUUACUCCUCCCUGCGCAUAUAAAUCAAUUUCAGCUCCCGAAUAUGUCAGCGCUGGGGAAGUUGCAUACUGUAGUUACUCAUUUAUUUGCCUAUUGAAAACGGUCAAAGGCUUCUCUUUCCCCUCAAGGAAAAGGAGCCCAAGGAGCCCGAAUGGGGGAGCUGCUGGUUGCUGGGGGCCCCAUAUUUGCUAUUGGUUUCGAGAUCAGAUAACUGCUGCCUUUUUGAUCCUGGAGCUGGACAUUUUUUUUUUUUGAUCACACUGAUUAUUCUGCUAAUGCUUAAGCAGCGUUUUGUGUAUUAGGCUGCCCCCAACCCAUCCACACCCCUUCUAGUUUUAUACUGACAUAGGUAGCCCUCAGGGAAAAGAGCCCUGUAAGCUUUCUUAGUUUGGUUAGCUCCUGUUGGUGGAUGUCAGCCUAAAUCCCGGCUUUCUUGCCUUUCCCUCCCAAGGUUGACCACACUGCCCAGGAAGGGGAGGAACGGAGGAGAGGGGAAAGAGAUAAAGCUAAUUUUAUUUGGCUAUUGCAGCAAAGCUUAGAGAAGUUCAAGUAGAUGCCAAGGGAAAGAGGAAUCCCCUUUGAGCUGUAGAUGAUGCUAUUUGGUACCGUUUUGCUGAAUAAGUCGUAAAGUCAGAAACACUCCCUGCCAUUGGAAGACUAGGGGAAUGGUACAGGAGGGGAAAAGGGAAAACUAGCCCCCUUCUCUUUGUCAGUUUCCUCCACAGUUCACUUGGGAGGUGGUGAGAGAUUUCAGUGGAUUUUUAAAAUUGGUUACAUUUAUUAAACAACAAACAGGGAGUUCAGAGUACCUUUCUUUUUCAGGAAUGGUUUGUCAAAUUAUAAGACAAAAAUUGUUAUAGUAACUGUUCAUUUUUCCUUUAUCUGGGAAUAGAUUUUAUUUAUUCCUUGUCUUUGUUUUUGAAAGUCUGGACAAUUCUGGGAAGUCAGAAGUAGUCAGAAGGUUUGGAAGCUAAUAGCCUAAGGAUGAUAGGAAACUUUUUAAAUGAGGCCAGGAUCCUGUAAAGAACAGGGGGAGAGGAGACAGAUUGCCCUUAUGGCAUUGACUUAGCUCAGGUUCGUUUAUUUAUUUGAUAUGUACUACCAUGGAAUGAAACAUUUAGUAUCAGUUUCUGACAUGAGUAAAGUUUUUACAGUACUUCUAAGUACAGAUCUUCUGGCAAAGUGUUUGUUGUUAUCCAGAAUGUAUAUUUGACUUCCCAUUUUAAAAAUUUAUCUACAGAGAAAAUGUAAAGUAAGAAAAUUGUGACUGCACAGGAAAAAUUGCUUUCAUCUCAGAAAGGGAUUAUUUGCUUUGGCUUUAAUUUUUUUUACAGGUACUUGACAUCUGCUUCUAACUUAGUUUUGUUUCUUCUCCCUUGAAUCUGGUGAAAGGAUGAAAAUUUACAAGUAAUCAAAUGUUUUGGCCACAUUUUUUACCAUGCCACAGUAUGGAGUUCUUUUGGCAGUGCUGGUGAGCAUUUCAUUCCUCUGAAGUGAUGCAAUUUCUAAAUAGCAUCAUUUCCACUGGUAACACUCCAUGCAUUUGGUAUUAUGGAAAAUGCUUGGAAGAGUUUUUCGACAUGAUUAGAUUUCAAUUACUGUUCGGUAGCAAUGCAUUUAAUUCUAGCAGGUUUGUUUUCAACUACCAAAAGUAGCACUUCAGAAUCUUUCUGAAAAUUUUAAAAGAAGCAAGACAUUUCUGUUUCCAAAUUGAAGAAAUUCAAAGUUUGUUCCAAAGAAACAGAUUCAGAUUAUACCUGAUUUGAUCAUGCCAUCAAAAACUAUAUUGGUAGUUGAUCAGAUUGAUUUUUUCUUUAAGACUAGCCAUAUAUUGUAAAUUUCAGUUGACUUCAGAGCUUAUUACUACUCUUUUGCUGAAAAAAAAUAGGAUAAGGAAGUACUAUUGUUCUCCUUUGUGCAGAACUGAAAGAAAAUCUUUACUGUGCUUACAAUUGCCUAGAAGAUACUAGUUUUUCUCUCUUCAUUUCUGUUGAUUUGCAAGAAAUUCCAUAGUGACAGGUGUUUCACCAUUUCCCAGUUUUAUUCAGAUAUUCAUCAGGCGGAAAUAUAGUAAUUAUUGUAUCCAACAUUAACAAAUAUUCUAUAUAUUUUGUUCAUGUUAGUGUCUUUCUUUGCUGCAAUUUUUGCACUGAAAUGACCCCUACUGGUUGUAUCUGUUAAUGUAAACUCCUUUAAAAUAUAUCUAUUUUUUUUAUUAUUCCUUUUGGCUUCAAUAAGAAAACAUAUUAUGUGUAACAUAGAAAUAUUAUCAUAUUUCACUUACCUGUUUCCAAAAAGCAGAUUAUUUAGGUUAGAGUACUGUAUGUGCAGCUUCAUAAUAAUUUUAAUUAUUGCUUCUCACAUGCUUUGUAAAGUUAGUAUUUUUAACCAUACUCUAUCUAAAAAUGAGGAACUGAUCAUCUAAUAAGGCUAAGUAACUUGAUCAGGGUCACAUAAAUUAAUGACAAAACCAAAAACAAAACUGGAUUAUGGAUUUGUUCUUCUUACCUUAGAUCUUAAAGAUAAACUUUUUCUUGGAUAAUUGGUCCUAUGAGUACCAAAGAAUGAAUAAUUGAAGAACAUUUUUCUUUAGAAAUAUAGGCAACAUAACAGUUUCUUCUGUUUGAUCUAUUCAAGACGUUUUCACUUAAAAUUUUCUGAGUUUUCGUGUCCCACUAAAAAUAUCAAGAAAUAAAUAUAUGUGUAUAUAUAUAUACUUCUAUGUACAUUGCAGUACAUAAAUUGUUGAUUUCACUAAUACUGAUUUCUUCUGCCAUUUAUAUAGAUUGUAUCCCCUCCAUACCACAACCUGGUGAUCAACAUUCAGAUGAUGAACUUAUGAUUUAAAUUAAAUUGGUGCUUACUCAAGAGACAAUAAGUCUGUCAUCUUCUGUACUUGAAGCCUUUCUAGUACCCCUGGUCAUUUCGGUUCAUUUAGCACUUAUUAUGUGUAGGGCACAAUGCUAAGUGCUAAGUCCCUCCAUAUCACAAGGAAGCAUCAUUUUAGAAGAAAUAUCAAGAACAUGAACAUAAGUGUACAUAUUUAUAAAUGCAUAAUACACAUAUGGAGGUAGAUAUUGAUCUUUCUUUUUGAAGACCAAGGGUCAUACUUUUCCUUUUCUUGGUAAGCCACAACUCUGAAAUCCAGUAGUUCAAAUGAAACAUCUUUGAAUGCUUCUCCUUGAAGUGUAUUGAAUGCUUACUGCUUUCUUAAAAAAUUCAGUCUAAAAACUCUAUUCCAGAUUUUAAGAUAGUACAUCUUUACCCUUUGUUCUGAGUCUUAACUUUUAAUAUUCUAGAUUGCGAUAAGGCAAUGUGGUCUAAUGGGUAGAGUUUUUAUCUUGAAGUCAGGAAGACUUGUCUGAGUUUUGUCUCUGAUGCAUAUGGGUUGCAUGACCUUAAACACGUUUCUUGACCAUUCAAUGACUUCAGCAUAUUUAUAAGCCUCUCAGUUAUCUACCAGAUGCCAAUAUGCAUUAGUUGGAAAGAAUCUCCCUAUACUCAUUAAAGCACAGCUCUGGACAAAAACAAAAUAAAAAUAUAACAAUUGCUGCUCUUUCUUAAAAGGCUUACACCUUAUAGGAAAAUGUCUAAAACAAGUACAAGAAAUUUGGGGCUCAAAGAGACUAAGAAGAUUGUUUCAGGGUAUCUUUGGGAAUCUAGGAAGGAGUUUGAGUUCUAUGCAAGUUGAAUUUUCUGGAGUUUUGAUGGGGGGAGUAAAAGGAUUUUUUUUACAAUAAAAAUAUGGUUAAGGAAUUGAUAGACCUAAUGAAUCCAACUUUUUAAAAUCUAGAGGUGCAGAAAUAAGAACAUCCCAUUUUUGGCAAUGGAGAGGCAGGUAGUGGUUGGAGCUGGAGUAGCCAAGAACAUAUGGUUCUGCCUUGAAUUUCCCACAUAAAGGGAUUAAAAGAGAUUUGACAUUACCUUAGCAAAGAGACAUGACAUGAGAUGUUGCUAUGAUGGUUUUUCUACUUUGUGCCCCAAUUAUUUCGAAACCAUUAAAAAAAUCAGUAACUACUGGGAUCUGAGGGGAAAAAAGUUUUCUAGACCUCAAAAGAGCACAAUUCCUUUGUCCCAACUAGUCAUUUGGAGAGCAAAAUUCCAGGGAUUGCACACCUUGCCAAAGCAUCCUUCUUUCUGCUUCAUUUAGGUUUGUAGCAACAAGUCUUAUUUUGGCUAGAAAGUUGUUUCAGUAUCUUAAUAAUUGCUAUCAUGGUACUUUGAUUUAAAAAGAUAAUUCAGAGGCGAAAAUUGAGAAUGACUAGGUUGAAGGAAGGAUGCUCUACACAGCCAUCUAUAAAUCUUACACAGUGUUUGGUAGACAUUCUCAUUAAUAAUUUGGAAGUCAGUAACUAUUAUGGUUUUGAUUUUAGUCACUAGAAAGGGAUGCAUGGAAGUUGGUAGGCUUCUAGUAGAAUUAGGAAAAUUGUACAACUCGAGGCUUUAAACUUUGUUUCCAAGUAGUGUUUUUCAUUCUCAUCACUAAGAUCUUUCAGCAAAAGUCUCAGAGCUGCCACUGGAGAGAAAUAAACAAAGAUCUAAUAAAAUUAUGUUAAUGCAGUGUGGGAAGAGAAACAAAUAUAAGUAAAUAAGGAAAUAAUUAGUUCUUCCAAAAGUAAAUAUUGACAAAACACCGGGGACUACUUGUAAAACAUAUACAAAUCAUCAGGACUGAGUGACUUUCACUUGUCUGUAUUAAUGUACAAAGGACUAACAGGCUACUGAAAUAUCAAUUCAGUGUCUUUGAAAAGUCAAAUUACUUAAAAUUUAAAUAAAUUUCAUAUUUUCAGAAAGAAAAAAUGUUGCCUAAUGCAUUAACUCAUUAAAUUCAUUUAACAACCAGGACAAUCCAUAAAUACUUGGAAGGCAAUAUGAUUAUAAAUUGCCAACUACCUGAAUUUAUAAGGAAAACUAUCUGAAAAACUUAAAAUUUUACAGUCAUACUGUCCAGUUGUAGCAGGUUUUUAGUGUUAUGAUAUAAAUGCCCUCUAAAGAUUUACUUUAUUAAAAUAUUGGUGAACCAGGUGAAUGAAUGUAGAGUUUGUAUGUAGAAUGUAGAAUUAAGUGUAUAGGAGUUAUUGUAGAGUAGUUGCAAAGAACAGACAAUUUGAAGAUCACCUCAAGACGGUUAUAGAGCAUGGGCAGGAGAGAGUGAAGAAUGAGAAAGUAUCUGAAAAAAAGAGGUGUUGGACCAUUAGGUCUUUGAAACUCCUGAACAUUCUGCUUCUAUAAUUUGAAUAAGGGUAUUAAAAUAGUGAGUUGAAUUUGGAAUAGUGUGAAUUAUUCUUUGGAAAGUAAUUGCCAAUGUAUUCCAAAUGUCAAUACAGGUACAUCUGGAAAAUAAGGGUGGGUUUGUUUGCUGUACUUAAACCAUAACAGUAGACAUUCUGAAAGCUGCUCUGUAAAAACCAUGGUAACAUGUAUUGUGAAAAAUUUAUCUUCCAUUCAUUUCUGGUAAACAUGCCCUUAUGUUUAUGUUAUUCACCUGGUAUCAGAUUGUUGAAGCCCAUCAACAAAAGCAAGUCACUUAACUUUUCCAAGCCUUGGUUAACUUGAUUUUCAAAACAGAAAAGAGAACAAUCCAUAAACUAUCAGCCAAUGAGCUUAAAUUUGAUUCCUGAGAAAAUUCUAGAAUGAAUCAUUAAGCGGACUAUUGGUGAACAUCUAGAAAGUGGUGGUUACAGAGAGCCAACAUGACUCCAGUAAGACCAUAUCAGACUAAAUUCAUUUCCUUUUUUGACAAGUCUUCUAGAUCAGUCUAUUAGUGGAAUUCUGUGAUAGUAUUUAGCUUUAUUUUAGUAAGCUUUUGAUGAACUAUCUUAGAUGAUUCUUGUGGAGAAGAUGGAGAAAUGUGGAUAUUUUAUGAUUAUCUAAUGAGAUAGAUCCAGUAGUUGUUAAUGGCUUGAAUCCUGAGGGAUUUAUGCUUGGUGUUUUUUUUUUUUUUAAGAUUUUCAUCAAUGUAAUGUGGACAAAGGUAUAGAUGGCUUAAUCAUCAAAUUUGCAUAUUACUUUAAUAUAGGAGGGAUACCUAAAACAAUGGAAGUUAACUAGUUUAGUUAUACAAUCAGUACCCAAAACUUCAAAAAGCUGUAGCUUUGGGUAGACUCUCAUAUGAUGAAAGAUAUGAUACUCUUAGUAAGGAUAAACAUAAGAUCUUUUACUACAGUACCAAAAAAAAUCAAUCAACUUCAGAAAUAUAAUAUAGUCAUAUGGCAAUUUCUGAAAAGGAUGGGGGCGAGGAGGAUAGCUUAGUGGAUUCCAUGCAUACUAUGAGUCACUGGUGUUAUGUGGUAGGGAAAAAAGCUAAUGUGAUCUUGGGCUGCAUUAAAAGAAACACAGUUUCCAGGAAUAGGGAGACAAUUGACUUUAGUCAGUGGGGAACCACUCAAGGUUUUUUUUUUGUUUUUUUUUUAAAUAGGGAAGUGCAUUAGGAUCAAUCAAUCAGGGCCAGUUAGGUGACACAGUAGAUAGAAUGCUGAGCCAGGAGGUAGGAGGAUUUGGGUUCAAAUCUGGUCUCAGACAUUUCUUAGCUGUGUGAUGCUGGGCAAAUCACUUCAUUCCAUUUGCCUAGUCCUCCUCGCUUACCUUUCUUUCUUAGAGUUGUUACUAAAGCAGAAAAGUAAGGUUUUUUUUUAAAGGAUCAAUCAAUCAACAAGCAUUUCUUCAGCACCUGCUAUAUGUCAAGCAUUCUAAGGUCUGUGAUACAGAGACAGAGAGAUAUGUGCACACAUACAUCCACUAAAGGAUUUAUACCUAGAAGUGUCCUUAGACAUCAUCUAGACCAACUCCUUCAUUUUACAACAAAAACUAAUGUUGGGAGAGAGAUAUGCAGUAGGAAAAUUGCUUUGGCAGAAGUGGAAUAUAUGGAUUGGAAAGGGGAGUCUGGAAGCAGUACAAGGAAGCAUAGAGGUAUAGCACAUAGUGCUUAUCUUCAAAGAGCUUGCACUCUAAAAAGAUAAGAAAUAAACAAAGUUAAUUUAAAAAAAACUGAAUAGGAGUUGGAAGUCAUAACAUAACAACAUGUGUUUGCUAAAUAAAUUGUCCGAAGAAUCGCAUAGGAAUUGAAAGGAGAGUGAUGUGAUGAUGAGGUAAGGAAUAGAAACUAUUGGAGUUUAGUCUUAAAAAAUAGGUUUGAUUUUGGUGGGGGGAGAGUAGGGAGGAAUUCCUCCCAGCUUUAAGAAAGUUUAUAAAAUGUAGUUCAAACUAUAGUUUUUACUAAAAAAUAAGAAAUCACUUUCUAUUCUUAAAUCUGAACUGUAGUUGAAAAGAGUUGUUAUGAUUUUAUGACAUUUCUCUUUUUCUGAGUGGGAAAAUGAUACCUGCUUUUACAGUGGAAUUGAGCAUCAUUGAGAAAAUACUUCCUUUCGACUUUAUUUAACUUUCAACUUUAUGCACUCUUCCACCCACUAAUUCUUUUUUCUGUCCUUGUUCUAGCACUCAGGUACUUGGGGGAAUAUCUUGUUAGUGAAUUAUGAAGAGAAUUAAAGAUAUCCUUAAUAAAAAAAAGAAACACAAAUUUUUUGGGAGGGAAAUACCCUUUAAACCCCCCUUUUUUUUAAUGAUAAACAAGUCCUCAGUCCCAUCACAAUGAAUUUAACAGCUCCUUGGGUGGAAUAUGCUUCUAGACAACUGGCUAGACCAAUUUUCUUCAUUCUCUUUAAUGUUCUGCAAGUUGAAUAAUUGACUUUUUUAACAUAGCCUUCUAGAACUCAAGUUUAUCUCCACAUGAGGAAUGUAUCAGAACAAAUCUUAAGUGGAAAAAUUGGGAGUUAUCAAAGAUUAGGAAGCAUUUGCCAUGCUUUUGAGAAGACCUAUACUUAACUGUGUACCCAUGGGCUAACUUCAUAUUUGAAAAAUCCUUAUACUACAUACAGCCUGUAGAAUAAUUUGCAAGAGAGGGCCUAUGUGCAUGACUUCUUGCUCUCUGACAGUUGGCCUUCAGUGUUUCUGUCACUUUUGAUACAUUACUGGUUAGUUCACUCUAAUCAAACAAGUCUGUGGCAGUAGUGACCAACAGGGGACCUAGCCCCAUCUGUCACUCAGCUCUAACCCUUGAAUCUUCACAUCUAGUAACAAUGAAGCCAUUUAUCACAGAUUGGUCUAACCUCCCACCCCCACCUCCCACAAAAAGCAGAAAUUCAGCCUAUUCUUGCCUUAUCAUCCCCCCCUUUUCUCUGUAUUCUCUUCCCCUCCAUUCCCUUCCCUUCUCAUAUUCUUAGCCCAACACAUACCCUUUAAAAGGUUGUUUCCUCCCCUUCCCCACAUACACCAUGUACGCAAACUAUACCCCCCAAAACAAAACAGGUCCUUAAGGAUGACAGCCAAGUAAUAUAAUAGAUUAAAUGCUAAACUUUGGAAUCAAGAAGACCUGAGUUCACAUCUUUCCGCAUAUACUUAUUAGCUGUGUGAUAUAUGGAAAGUCAUUUAAACUCUCUUUGCUGCAGUUUCCUCAUCUAAAAAAUAUGGAUAAUAACAGCACCUAUUCCAAAGGGUCAAAUGAGAUGUACAUAAAAGUGCCAUUAUAUAAAUGUUUGUUAUUGUUAUUAUUAAUAAUAAAAAACAUGUGUAGUUAUAUCAGAGAAUCUGGGUUGAAAAGCACUGAGAAUAAUAUUGAAACAGGGCUAUAACUCAGAAUACCUCCAUAGGCGCAUUAGUGUUAAACAUAAAGUAACUCUGAUGAUGGUUACAAACUAUAGUGGAAAGAACACUGAAUUUUGGGUCAGUAAACCUGUAUUAAAAAAACAACAAUAACUAAAUUUCAUCAUCCAUAAAAUGAGAAUAACAGGAUCAAAGGAUUUACAGCUAUUAAUGUCCUUAGAGGUCUUCUAGUCCAAUUCCUUCAUUUUACAAAUGUGGAAAAUGAGGCCUUUAGCGGAUGUGAUUUGGGAAAAGUCACAUAGAGAAGAGAUUCAAACUCAGGUCUUCUAACUCCAAAUUCCAUGGAUUGGAAGACAUCUAAUUACUUUACCUAAUAAUACUUCUUUGUACUACAUACUUCUCAGAUUUGUUGGGGUAAAAUGCAUUGUAAAUCCCUGUGUGUCACAUAAAGUAGAGGUUAUUAUUAUUGUGACCAGCUCUCUGGAAAAUGCACAUCUAUUUUUAAUUAGAUCAUAUAUAUUUAUUAAAUAAAAACUUCAUUUUGUUUUAAAAUGUAAUCACAUCUCUUGAAAUAAAUGGAGAUAUUUUUGAAUCUAUAAAACAAAGUGUAGGGUUCACUCCAUACAGCAAGAACAAGUUUGAGAGUCAGUGAAGGCUGCUGCCAGCCAUCCAGCUUUCCUUCCUUCCCUUUGGUUUUCAUUUCUGUCAUUCUGUUCACUAAAGAUAUGAGUUGUGCCACUUGUAAACCUAUAUACCUUAGAGUCAAGGAAGAUGUUGACUUGAAAUUAGUGUAUUAGUAGUUGUUGACAUUUUAGUAUCUCCUUAAGGUCUUUAGGAGAUUUGGAUAGGAGACUUUUAACUGUUAUUUGCCUUCCAACCUGGAAAUGAACAUCAUAUUUUCUUAAAGACUUCCUAGAGAAUCCCUAGCAUUGUAUUGAUGUACGGGACUACCAAAGAGUACUUGAAGUAGACAACUCUCUGGCCCUUAAAACUAACUUAGCCACCUAGAAUUUGAAACUAAUUGUUUAUUAUUUGAUAAGUCCUGAAUAUUUACAAAGGGCAUUACUCUUGGGCAUGCUACUGUAGCAGUUCAGUCAUUUUCAGCCCUGUCUGACUCUCUGGGACCCCAUUUGGGGUUUUCUUGGCAAACAUACUGGAGUAUUUUGCCAUUUCCAGCUCAUUUUACAGAUGAGGAAACUGAGGCAAAUAGGAUUAAAUGACUUGCCUGGGGUCGUACUGUUAUUAAGUGUCUGAGACAAAUUUGAAGUCAGGUCUUCCUGACUCAGGCCAGGCACUCUAUCCACUGUACCACCUUGCUCUAUUUUACUAGAGACCUAAAGUGUUUUAACAGUAAAUUUAAACUUAUAGCAGCGCAGAGGCAUCCACUACCCAACUUUCCUUAAAAUUUAUGAGGUUUAUUUUUAAACUUAUAUGUAUAUAUGUAUACAUAUAUAUAUAUAUAUAUGCAUUUGUUUAUACGUAUGUGUGCAUGUAUACUGGUCAAACAAAAAAAAUCACUUGAAUUUCAUAGAUUAUCUUUAAUAUAUUGAUUUGAGCCAUAAAGACAGAAAAAGAAACAUUAAGUACAUUAUUUGAUUCGUUAAUAUUGAUCUUUUAAAUAAGAUUUUAUUUCUUAGCUGCUAAGGAAGGAGAGGAAGAUUUUGAAAGGUUUCUCUUUUUAAAAAAAUUCUUUAUUUGCUUUAGUUCUAUAUCAGCCAGCUUUUCUGGCUAUAGUGAGGUAAAAAAAAAGGAUGUAGACUGUAACAAGAAACUGAACCCAUCUUAUUUAGCAUUUCAAAACAAAAAACCAUAAACAAACAUCUCAGAUUCAAAACAGAAAGGAAUUUCUGGCAGGGAUAGAUGAAACCUGAGUCUACUUGGUCCCUGUCUGCAAGAGGUAACUUAUUUAGCUUCCCCUACAAAGACUGCAAGCAUUUCACAAACAUUUCACAGCCAUGAUAAAAAGAAAAGAAUCUCCAGAUUGGAGAGAUGCAACACCUGUCUUUAAGAAACUGCAGGAGCUGGUGAUUUAUGGCAGAGCUACAUGGAAGAAGUAUGACCUGAACUAAACUUUGUUCAAGUGAGUUGGGAUAAUCAAGUGCUUGUAAUGUGCUAGGAAUUUUAACCGAACAUACAGAACACAUGGUGUUUUUCCAGUAAGAGUUUAUGCUCAUAAUCCUUCACUGACAGGAGAUCCCCAUAAUCUUGUCAAACCCAGAAUUUAAAAACUCUAAAAGAAAAUCCACUGGACUGUCCCAUGCCAUCACCAUGAUGGGGCCCAUCCAGUGUUCUGCUCUAAAGGUAGGCAUGGUAUUUGCAGUAAGAUUAAGGCAGAUUGAUUUUAUAAAGAUGUUCACAAGGAAGAAGCUAAUGGAUUUGCCAGUGGUUUAGAUAUGGGUUGAGAACAAAAGGGAUUUUUUUUUCUAUGCUGAACCAUUAGAUGCUCAUAUGUUGAACCCAAAUUCUUACAUUAUAGGCAUACUUUGGUGAUUCUGCUUUCAUUAUCUAUGAUGUAAAAUGAAAGUCCAGAAACAGUCCACAUCUUUUAGUAAAAAGGGUGAAUACUGUAGACACAUGGCUAAAUUUCUAUACAUGAGAAUUCCAGAACAUCCAUAACACAUUGCAGUAGAAGCCCACUUCUUAGCAUGGUUCCUGGCAUAGAGUAGGCACUUAAAUGUUUAUUGAUUGAUUAGUUAAAAGGAAUGUACAAGAAACCUCAGAUUCUCCUUUGGGACACUUACUGGAUGGCACUGAGCAAGUCACUUAACUUCUUGGACUCAAGGGCUUCAUCUACAAAAUGAAAAUAAGAAUAUUUUACUUGAUGGUAAGAGACUUGAUCAGUGUUUACCUGGGGUCCAUUCCAGUGGCAGAAGACCUACGAAAGGGUUAAAUAUUACCUCUUGACUGCAAAGAAGUGGCAUGCUGUAAAGGUGAGAAUUUGGGUACAAGAGACAAGAGAUACCGGUUCCAGAUCCAGAAUAGUUACCAGCUAUGUGAGUUUGAACAAAGAUUUUUCUGCUACAGCUUCUUCUCUAGAACAAGGAUUUUAGAACAGGUGAUUUCUGAGGUCUCUUCUAGUUGUGAUAGUCUAUGAUUCUUGGGGAAAUGGGAUUCUUGGUAUUAGUUUUAGUCAAGUGGAAUAAGGGGAAGGAGUUUUAUUAAUAAUAACUGACAUUGGCAUAACACUUUAAGAUUUGCAAAGUCUUUUACAAAUGUUUUUAUUUUAGUGCAAGGGUCCUUCACCUUCUCUGUAUCAUGGACCUUUUGGGCAAUCUGUGAAGCUUAUGUCAGAUACCGGCUCAGAAUAAUGUCUUCAAACAAAUAAAAUAAAAUAUUUAGGAUUACAUAGGAAGACAAUUAUAUGAAAUGCAAUUGUAAAGAUAUUUCAUCAAUUGGGAAAUGGCUAAAGAAGUUAUGGGAUACAAUUGUGAUGUAAUACUACUGCACUGCAAGAAAUGAUGAGCAAAUUAAUUUUGGAAAAUGGAAAGAUCUGCAUAAAACUAUAAAGAGUAAAAUGAGCAGAACCAAGAGAACAUUAGAUAAGGCAAUAGAAAUAUUGUUUAAAGAAUGACUUGCAUAUAUCCACCUCUAGAGGACGAACUGAUAAAUAGAAAUAAGAUAUAGUUUUAUGUAUACAUAUAUCUUUUUGUCAAAUAAUGCCUUCUCUAAGGCUCAUUCUCUAAGAAUGAGGGAAGGAAGGAGUUAACUAGACAUUUUAAUGUAACAAAAAUAAAUUUUAAUUUUAAAAAAGUUCAUGGGCAUCAGCUUAAAUAAUCCUGAUUUAGGGGAAUAUAUUACUUUCUUCCUUAAUUACACUUCACAUGAAGUAAUUAAGACUGCAAAACAUGGUCAUUAUCUAGAAUAUGUUUAAAUAACAGAAAUCUAGAAACCAUCUUAACUGCAUGACCUGAUGUGAAUUCAAGGGAGAAUGAAAACGUCUGCUUUAGGCUGCUAAAUGGGGUAAAACUAUCUUUGCUAUUUUCUCAGAUUCCUCGUUUACUUUAUUAACCAGUGUGGUUGUGAGGCAGGUAAGUGACAAAUACUGCGAAGAGGGAAACCUGAGUGAAGAAGACAGGCCAAAACUUGCCCAAAUUUACAUGCUCAUUUCUGUCUCUGACAGUCAGAGGCAGUUGAGUAAUUGCUGUUCAUCCUAAUACUACAGGCAGCAGCCAAAUUCUCAACAUUCUUUUACCUUUGCUGCUGUUUUCACUUGCCAGGGAGUUUCCCACCAGACACUGGGCAAGCAGUUUUCUUAAAGAGUGGAAUGAAUUUAAAGAGACAUGCUAUAACAAUUUGUAUUUUCUGUCUCAGAUAUACAUAAUGUUGUACAGUCUCUAUGGGGUUUUCAUUCAGUGCUUGUUGACAUUUGGGCAAUGGACAUUCUUCAUCCAUUUGGUCUUUUCUGUAUGAAUGGAUAGGCCAAACUCCUUUGAGUGAUUAUAGAGCUCUUCCAAGAGGCUCUGCAGUGUCUUAGGACUUUGAUGUAGUUACGAUGUCAUCUGAAAACAGGAGCAUCUGGAGGACUUCACUGUUCACAAGGAGCUCUCUGGGGUGGAUGUCCUCUAUUACCAUGGAGAAUACUUUUGGCAAGUGUACAUCUCCCUGCUUUAUGUCUUGCCUAAUGUUUAUUAUCAGAGAGUCAUUAAACAGAUGGACAAGAGCUGAGCCCAGAGUGGAAAAGGGAGGACAAGAGGGGCUAGAUAGCUUUUGGGAACUUUCAAAAUACUUGCAAUUUGGGAACUUCAAAAUAUUGACCCAUCCUAUCUGUAACAGCAAAAGCCCAUCUUCUUAAUACAAACAUUUAAACAUGUUUCUGCAUAGUAGCAAGACCAGGAACACUCCUGCCUCCAAAAUAUUAAAUGAAAUAUUUUACAGAAAGGCUGGUAAGGUGGGUAAGAGCUGACUGCAACAUGUAACCAGCAAGGAACUCUGAAGAUCCUGAGUAAGGAUGCCAUCCAAGAAUUGUAUGAAAGAAAAAGGAGAUGGGCUGGUCACAUGACAAGAGGGAUGAUGGACAGGUGGACAACCAGAGUGCUCCACUAGUACCUUUGCAUCAUUGAGAGAAAGCAAGGAAAGACUAGCACAUUGAGUAGAUUGCCUAUGAGAACUCUGGGGAGACUGUGAGUGAGAAUUUUAUAUGCUGGGCAGGCUGUGAUCUGAAUAUUUGGAGGGAAUUUUCAAAUUGAGGAGAUCACAGAUCCAUUUGAAUAUUGGAGUACUGGUGGCUACAGACAAAUUGCCUGAAUGUAGCAACUUUAUAGUCUACUGCUAGGGCAAUGCAAUGUCUAGUGGAAACUUGAAACUUAUUGUUACCCUCCACUCCCAAACACACAUAGAUUCCACCCUUCUUUCUGUCUGUCACAACAGAGGAUAAAAUAUCAAGAAUGUGCGGAACAAAUAUUCUUUCUAAAAGUGUUGGAUUUGGGGGGUCUAAGGACAUGAGUUCAAAUCCUAGCUCUCACUUGGCCGCUGUAACAACUUAUGUUUUAAUUGCCUCAUCUGUAAAAUUGGGAUAAUAAUACUUCACUCAUAGCCUGUUGUGAUUAGAGCAUUCUGUAAACACUAAAGCACUACAUAACUGUGAGUUACUGAUUUUUAGAUAGAGUGGUAAAUGCAUGAUAAUGGUCCAUAAGUGUCUAGAAAUGACAUUUUUGCCCUUUAUGCUCAUCACGCACAUAACACUGAAUAAGCUUAGAUGCAGCAAAACUGAUGGCAGUAACGAUGCAAUAAUGGUUAUUCCUUAAUUUUCUUCACUGGCUUAGUGAGGAUUUCACUUUGCAGUCUGGUAUAACUUUUGCUAGGUGCAAAUACAUUGCAGUAAGAGGCUAAUUAAUUCCAGUUGAACUCUCAUUAGUAAGUCCUUUGAAUGGAAAAUUCACUAGAAAAUAUCCACAUAGGAUGUUAGGAUUUAGAAUUGGAAAAGAUAUAAGGAAUUAUAAAAGAAGAAAUUUCAUAGCCCAGAGUGGUGAAGGAUAUUCUUCCUCUCUUCUUACUCAAACUGUUUUACCCCAUUCUGACCAGGAUAAAUUAAUUUUAGCCUAAUGGGUAUUUACAUUUCUCCUAGCAAAGAAGCAUUUUUUAAAAGGCUUUAAUAAAAUUUACAAUAUUGUUAUAGUUUUCUAAUGACUAUUAUUUGGACACAAGUUCAUUUUAUACGAUUAGUAAUAUACUAUCCCACAGACCAUUUCAAGCCCUCUGCUUAGAAUCUAUCAAGACUAGAAUUCGGUUGCUUACUUGAACACACACAUACACCUCUUUCUCUAAUGAAGAUUCUGGACAGCUAGUAGUAGUGACUGUGUCUGAAAUAGCCCUUGAGGGGAUGGGUAGUGUCAGUUACUAACCUGAUCCUUUGCCUAAGGAUGAGUUCUCACUUUUACUCUCCUUUUGGGUAUAUAAAGAGGUCUUUAUUUGGUUUUCUUCCUGUCUCUUUGAAACACUAGUAUAUGGAACCUUGAAAAGGUGUAAGAAAUGCCUGAACGAUUGUGCAGCAAACACUUUUGUGCAGUGAAAAUGGAAGGGACUUGCUGUAAUUAGAUUCCAUUUGGGAGGACUAGCUACCUCUAUUCUCAGGUUGUUUUUUUUAUGCCCUUGCUUUGUUCCCUUGGCACCAUCUGUGUGGUGGCAAAUCCUUGCCAUGACCCCCAUGCAUGCUGGAUAUCAGGUGCCCUGAAAACCAUUUCAGAGAACUGCUCUCCAACAAUCUUUCCAUUGGCCUCCACAUUCUUCCCAGCAGAGUCAUGCACAGGCAUUGGUAACACUGAAAGGGGGAGGUUUAAAAAAACCCCCACAGAAAAGGACUUUGCCAUCUGUUUGUCUAUCAUAAGUAGCCCCUUUCAGUGACAGGGUGGUGGAGGAGGGUGGGUAUGAGUACAAGACCUUACCAGAAUGCCAGGAUGCACCUGCCCCUCUUCUCUGACAUCACAAAACGAGAAUUGUAUGAAACAAGGUUGUGGUAGUGAACCUUCCAGAGUCAGGACACCAAAACCAUACUCUAGACCCAGCAGUGAGAGGGUGGUAUAGCAUAGUAGAUGGAGUACUGCUUUCAUAGACAAAAACCUGGAUUCCAAUGCAAACCAGCAGUGGCAAAUCAUUUAAACUCUUAGUUUACCAGGCAGCUCUCUGAAGAUUGUAAGUUGUUGAACAACUGAUCUGCACUGGUAGAGUGAGUUUCCUCAUUGGGUGUUCCAUAUACCAAUGAAAUAACAGGCCACAUUUGAUACAUCCCUCACCCGCAUCCCCACCCCCCACACACACAAAAAAAGCAUGAAUACUAGAGAAUUUGGGUAGUCAACUUUUUAUUCUUUUAGCAUUGGGUCAGACCUGGAACAAACUCUGUAAAUAAUUCCUCCUUUUCUAAUGGAAUUAAUUUUGUCUAUGCUUUUUUGUAUGUAUAUGUGUGUGUAUACAUACAUACAUAUGUGUGUGUAUAUAUACAUUUAAAAUGUAGCUAAAGGUAUAUUCUAUUGACAACACUUCACAGGGCAUGCUUAUAGUCUCUAACUGGAUUUUAAGAGGUUGGACAAUAUCUAUUUUACAAACUGGAACACUCAAAAAAUGAAUUUUCAGAUCUCAUGUCAUAAAAAAAUUUUAGGGUGAUUAUUUGUUUCCAUUAUUGUAAUUGAACACUAUUUUCUAAUUAUCAUAUUUUAAGCUGUAAGUUGCUUCAUUAAUCGGAGCAUUUGCAUCUUCUUUAUGCUUUACUUGCUAAAGAAAUAAUUUUUAUAUUUUUUAAUGUCCAGGAGAGAGGAUUAUUAUCACUAAGUUUUUGUUUUCAUAAUUAAAGGUAUAGUAGGUGCUUAUUUUAGCAUUACUCUUGUCCAGGCCAUAUAGAAAUUAGGGAGGAAAUAGUAGAAUAGGAAUGUGGAACUUUUAAUAAUGAGGAAGACAUAUUAUUUGAUUUAGGUGGAUCUCUGUAGGGAGAUCUUUGUCUUUGGGGGGAAGGAAUUUUUAGAAAAAAUUUUGUUGGGAAAAUAUAACAUUUCAGUGCCUACUGUGUUGGACCAUUUUACUGGAUACCACAGAAAAAUAAAAAGAAAAUAUGUAUUUGUCUUAUGCCUUCACAGUAUCUUAAGCCAAACAAAAAUUGCAUGUAUAUAGGAUACUGAACAUACACAGGUUGUUAUAGUUAUGCAUAUGUGUGAAUUUUAAACUUUAUGAAGAUCAAAGUAUAUACAAUGAUACAAAGCUUUGCUUGAAUGUGUUUGGAGAUGUAGAAACUAAGAUUUGAAAAGAUUAUAAAAGAAGGCGCUUUUUUUGCUUUUAAGUAGGGGGAAAGAUAUGUGCCCCCACCAAUUCUUGUUUCUUUUGAUAAAAAGAACUACAGGUGAUUUAUUCUCCAUAAUUCCUCAGUAGAAAUUAGUUAGUCAAUUAAGAAGCAUUUAUUAAACUCCAACAAUGUGCCAAGCCAAGCACCAUUAUAGGUGCUGGGGAUACAAAGACAAAAAUGAAAUGGUCCCUGCCCUUAAAGAGUUUAUAUAAUAUUGAGGGAGCCUACAUAAACAUAGAUAAGUAUAUACCAAAUUAAUCCGAGAUAAUCUGAGGGGAGAUCACUUGGCAUCGAAGGGCAAAGAAAGGCUCUAAUAAGAAGGUGGCUGUUGAACUAGAUUUAAAAGGGGAAAAAGGAAUUCUAAGAACCGAAGUGAAGAUGGACUUCAUUAUUCGCAAAACAAGCAGACAUUGCAAGGAUAUGGAGACAGGAGAUGGAAUGCUGUGUGUGAAGAAUAUCAAGAAGAUCAGUUGGAUUGCCCUGUAGUAUAUGGGAAGAGGAGUAAUGUAUAAUAAUGAUAGAAAGGUGAAAAGGGAUUGCUAAAAAUGGAUAUUUAAGACACAAGUAGGAAGUUCAAAUAAGUCUUAAGUAUACCCCAAAAAACAAAAAACCCCCCUCCAACCCAAACAAACCAACUUUAAUUUCAAUAUCAAGCCUUUAAAUCUAGCCUAUAUUUUGAACUUGGAUCAAAUAGGAAACAAACUGUGCAUAUGGUUUUUCUUUUUGGAAUUGUGCUGUCUUGCAUUUGUUGGAGUUAGGUGUUGUGAAGGGCUUUAAAGGUCAUACAAAGGAGUUUAUAUUUUGUCAUAAAGGCAAGAGAAAACCAUUGGGAUUUAUUGAGGAAGAGAAUAACAUUGUCAGAUCUGCCCUUGAGGAAAAUCACUUUGGCAGCCACAUGGUAGAAGGAUUGAAAACUAAGCCAAGCCAGAGAGACCAAUUCAUUGUCACACACGAAACCAACUUAUGGGUGGAAAUAAGGUGUCAACUUCUAAAAUUUAGACUAGAGGUUGUAGAUUUUUCUAAUGCUAGUCCAAAUAGAGUAGCUAGAACAUGAGGAGGACUAAAAAGAGGAGUUAAAGUUGACUCAAGUUCUUCACUCCAUUGUCUAAUACAGCGGUUUUCAAACUUUUUUUUUUGCUCAUGGCACAGUUUUAUUUUUUUAUUUUGAUAGACACAUAUAUGGAUUGCAAGUGUCAGUUUCAUACAGUUAGGGGCAUGUCUAGUAAAACUCAUGCUAUCCAUUGAAAGCCAGUGGUUUCCUGUAACCAAAUCUUUGAGUGCUAAAUAAGGGUUCAAGACUUUGGUUUUAAGAUAGGUUCUUGAAGUUUUAUUUCUGGAAAUGAAUGUUAGUAUAGAUAGAGGCUGGAGAGACCUUUGAUUUUUGGAUUAUCUGGAAAAUGACCCUCUCAUUAUAAGAAUUGUUUUGCCCUCAAAAGCAAUUCAGCACAGGGUUGUGUGUGUGUUUCUCUCCAUACAUUCUUUUGCAAUUCAUUGAGUCAUUGCAUAAUGAACUGAUUUUGAGUUUGAUAUUGGAAAGUAAAGUUGGGAGAGGGGAUUUAAAGGAUAUACUUAGGCUCUUUACUUGCACUUCUUCCCCACACUUGUGUUGCAGAAGUCUCUACUUUCAAUGGUCCUUUCUCAUUUGCUUAUAAGAAUCUUGGUGGGUGGCAACUUCCCCCUCACAACCAGGAGUUUGUUGCAUUGAGUCCUUAAGGUACUAUGGCGACAGAGUUGUUGUGAGUAAUAACUAAUAAACGAUUAUGAAUUGCUUUGUAAACAUGUUUCAAAUGAUUACAUAAAUGUCUAAUAAUGAUAACAUAGUCACUGGAUUCUAAACCUAGCAAAAGUUGUAAUAUUGUGCAUUAAUCUCAAUGAGCACACAUAUAUAUUUCUAUUCAGAUUAAUUUGACAUUCCUUAAACAUACUCUGAGAGUGAGACAGCAAAAACUAUUUGGUGCUUCCGAUGAUCUCAGAAGUGCCCUGAAGAAUUUCAUUGCAAGGACUUUGUGGGGCAGGAAAUUCCUGAAACAUUCAUCUUUUAAGGGGGAAGUCUAUUACUAUACGUCAUAAGAAUGCUUUGCAAAGGUUUGAGCAGGAAGUCAAGAGAAACCACUGGAUGAUGAAUUUAGGGAAACAGAAUUCCGAUUUGGAUUUCAUUCAGAUUAAUAGCCUGCCAUGGGAGACCAUGGAAUUUUUUAUAACAAGUGGUUAGAACUCAAGUUCUUUUUUUUUUUUUUUUGGUCAUUAGGCAAUACAGAAAUACCAUUAUUAUUCAGUGCUAGGAUCAGUCAAUCAUGAACUCACAAACACCUCAAUUUUUAAAUUUAAAAUUUUUUCUUUUAAGAUUUAAGCCCUGCCUAUUUCCAUAUGGACUAGAUGUGACCUUUAAAUUAAAAGGAUACAAAAUGAGGCAUUGAAAGAUAUACACAAAGAAUUUGUAAAUGAAACAAUUAAUUAAACAUUUCUAAGUCCUGAUUAUAUCAGGAAUUAUUUUAGGAGCUGGGAAUAACAAGAAAAAAAAAAACAAAAAUAGCCCCUGAACACAAGGAACUGAUAUUCUACCAGAAUUUAUGGUGAAAAGAUUGUGGAAGUUUCAUAUUAAGACACAAGAAACUAUACACAUUCACUUUCAGAGACAUGAUUUUCUUGUAACUGAUCUCAAGUACUAAAAGUAGUCCUCACUUUGAUUUGCCAGUCCUCUUUUGAAAUAUGUCUUUUCUGGAUUGUCCCCAGUUUUAGGAAGCCUAUGCCAGUCCUGAUUGCAACUGUUGACUCUGAUAAUAUGACAGCCCAGCAGCCCAAGACAGAACAUCUUCCAGAAUCUUUAAAAUCUUUUGUAGAGGAAAAUGGUGGAUUUAGUGAAGGUGUCAGUCAUUAUGUAGCUUCCCUUUAUUUCUAAAACACUGAUAACAGAUAAUUCAGAGUUAGCUCCCCAGAGAAUGACUCUUAAGUAAAAUAUUUCUUGAGGCCAGAUACCCAGUUCCUCUCAGGUCCCUAUCUUUUCCUCCCCUCACCCCAUUUAAAUGUUUACUAAUGCCAUUCUAUAAGUACUUCAUUAUGUCCUAGUCCAGAAGUGACCCUGGGUGCUCAAGGCAAUACCAGCAGAGUACAGUCUCUGACCAGUACUUACCUACUAAACAGGCAAGACUUUGAAUAUUAAAAAAAUAUAUUCUGCCAUCUGAAGACUUUGCUAGCUAUGUUUGGAGAGGCUCAUCACUGACCUGGGUGUGGAGUGAUGCAUUUUUUUUUGGCUACAGUAACCCAUGAAGACCAUCUACUACUAAUUUGUAGAGUGAUGUGAUGAAUCAUUUGCUUGUUGUCUCUCCCAUUAGAUUGUGAGGUUCUUGAAAGUCAGGACUGUUUCUGUCUUUCUUUGUAUCUGUAGCUUCUAGCACAGUGCCUGGUACAUGACAGGAGCUUAGUAAAUGGUUGUUGAAUUGUUGGAAAGGUAGUAUCCACACCACUGAAAGCAAGAGUCCUUAAAGUGUUCAAGUAUAAGUAUCCAGUGAACACUUCCUUAUAUUAGCCUUAAGAGUUAAAACAGAAUUUAAGAACUCUCUAGUCUAAGUCCCUCCCUUUAUAGAUGAGGAAGCAAAGAACCAGGGAAGAAAAGAGAUUUGCCCAGGGGCACACAGCUACAGAUUGGCAGAGAUGGGAUUCAAACCUAGGUCCUCUGAACUGAAAUCCAGUGCUUUUGCCAGGAUUCCAAACUGGCUUUCACUAAAAGUCUCUUCUUCCUUUUAUUCUUUCUCAUCUUUUCCCAUUAUCCUAAAGAUGGUAAAAACUGUGGAAGAAUACUAUUUAGUGGUUAAGUACUACUAAAAUUUAAUACAUCUUCCCUGUAAACCUGGCACCUAUAGUAAGAUGCUAUUGAAAGAUUUCUGGAUCUGAAUUCCUGGCUCCACCACUUAACUAUUUGUUAGGAUGAACUGGAUUUAUUUAAUUUUGUUUAUUUAAUUUAAUGUAUUUGUAUUCCCAGAGGUUAGCACAGUACCUGGCAUAUAGUAGGUGCUUAAUUAAGGCUUGCAGAUUGACCUUCAGCCUCCUCAUCUGUAAAUUGAAAAGUUUGCACUGACUUCUUUUAGCUUUAAAUCUGCUGCUGCUUAGAUUAUUUUCGUAUAGUAAUACUGUAGUCAACUCUGAAUUAGGUAUGCCUGAUAGAGAGGAAGAAAAUAUCCAAUGAUUUUAACCCUAGAACACCUGGGAAUUCUCCUAGCUGCUAUUGCAGACCUUAGUGGUAAGUACCAUACCACCAAAACAAAUAAACAAAAACCCUGAGAAAGGGACUUAAGUUAGACAUUCAGAAAAAUGAAUUUGAAUCGGGGUGAGGAACACAGUAUCCAUUAGUCCCUUUAUGAUUGUCCCUUUAAUUUUAGUGAUUCCCUUUCAAUUAUUUUUCUUGUACAGGGGGACAACAAUGAGAUCAUUGGAGAAGAUAAAGACAAUCUUCUUGAUUAACAAUAGUUAUUUCAUCAUUAAAAAGAGGGCUAGCCUAGGUGUGAGGCAUUUUUGCAGCAAUAUCAUUUUUGUUCCUUCUGUGUGCCCCAGGAAGGAAUGCUGAGUCCCUAAAGAAACCUCAGAGAGGUAUUUGAAGGAAUAGUUGGGGAAAUAAUACCCUCUCACUUCCUUGUUUGACUAGCUUUUCAUGCCUACAGCCAGAUCACAAAGUAUUAUUUUUGUUGUUGCUCAGUCAUUUCAGUUGUGUUCCCAUUCUUCAUGACCCUAUUUGGAAUUUUCUUGGCACAGAUCCUGGAGUGGUUUGCCAUUUCCUUCUUCAGCUCGUUUUACAACCAAAGGAACUGAGGCAAACAGGGUUAAGUAUUUUGCUCAAGUUCACACAACUUGUGUCAGAGGCCAGAUCUGAACUGAGGAAGAUGAACCUCCCUGACUCCAUACCCAGCACUCUCUUCACUGUGUGGUCUAGCUCCUGAAGUAUUAUUAGAUUGAGAUAAUAUUAGAAAGAGAUGCUGUAUUCAUAACAGAGGAAAGAAAGUGAACAAGUUUUGUGAGUUAAAAGAAAGGAUGAGUCUUGUCCCCCAUGAAACAUAUUGAAUUCAUCAAGGAAAGCUAUGGGAUUAUUAUUAGUUGUGGGGAAAAAAGCCACUGGAGUAUACAGAUAAUAGAUGUAAAGUUAUAUUUCUUUUUUUUCCUCCCCUUCCCCAACAAUAUAUGUGUUUCUCCUCAAAUAUGUGGGUGAAUGCAUUCUUACUAUAUGAAUAUACAUACAUAAAUAGUCAUGGAUGGUAUAACAUUGGGAAGUGUUCUUAUUUCUUACUAAAAUUAACUUGUUUUUCUCUCUUCUCUGAUGACAGAGUUCCUAAUUAAUAUUACUAAUAUUUUAUUACUGCUCUCCAUUGCUGAUGGAUAUUAACUGCUAUUAAGGAAGGCAUGUUGGUCUAGUGGAGAGAGAGAGAGAGUUUAACUUGAAGUCAGAUUCCUAUCUCCAGCAUUUACUAGCUGUCAGACUACGGAGGAGGCACUUCAGCUUUCUUAGAUUCAACUUCCUUAUCAGUGAAGUGAACAUAGUAAUACUUGUAGUGCUUAGCUCAUAGGAUAAUUGUGAGCCUCAAGUGAGGUAAUGUAAGUAAAAUGCUUUGCAAAUCUUAAAACAUUUUAUUAAUGCAGUUGCUUUUGACUCCCAGCUUUUAUGACAGCAAUGUCCAUUCUUGAUAUUAAUGAAUAUUUUGAUAGAUCUGCAGUCUUAUGGAUGUGGGUACCCCCUCCUGUGAUACAUAUGGCAAUUCAUCUCUUGUUGAAUUCACAAGUAAUGAGCUACGGCUAAACUCUUCCUCAGAAUGCAAAGAGUCCAUUGCUGUGAUCAGAGACUAAAUAUGGCCUAUAUGCGAAGACAGUGCAAACUAAGAGAACCUGUUAAAACCCUCUAGAACAGAUAAUCCACUCUGAUAGCCUUUGAGAACCAGGUCAGAUCCACAUAAUGAGGAAAAGUCCCAACGAACAUUGGGCUGAAUCUUAUUUGAUUUGUGACUAUUUAUGACUGAAAUCCAGUAGUGAUGAAUGUAAAAGUCUUGCACCUGGAUACAAAAAGAAAAAUCAACAUCACAAAUACAAGAUGGGUGAGGAAUGGUUAGGCAGAAUCAUUGAAAAAAAGAGCCAUAGGUUUUUGUGCACUGCAAGCUUAAUAUGAGUUUAGCAAUGUGAUGGAACAGCCAAAAGAAAGCAAAGCUUAAUGUGAUCUUGGGCUCUGUUAAGAGGUUCUAACUUUCCAAAAAAGGGAGCCUCCCUCUGUUACCUUACUCUCAUCUGACCCUUAUCUGGAGCACUGUUGGGUUCAAUUCUGAGCAUCACAGUUUUGUUUUUUUUUUAACCCUUACCUCCUGUCUUAGAAUCAAUACCGAGUUCCAAGGCAGAAAAGCAGUAAAGACUGGGCAAUUUGGAGUUAAGUGACUCGCCUAGGACCACAUAGUAUAGGAGCAUCACAGUUUAAGAAGGAAAUUGUUACACUAUAGAACAACCAGAGAAGGCUAACCAGAAUGGCAAAGGGUUCUUUGUUCAUGUUAUAUGUAAAUACAUUGAAGGACCUGGGCAUUUUUAACCCUGAGGAAGAAAAAACAAGAAAAUUGGGGGCCAAAGGAAGGAGAAAGGCAUAAAGGAGUAUUCAGGUAUUUGAAGGGCUAGGAAAUAAGGCUUUGGCUUGAUCCAUUUGGCUUCAAAGGGCAGAUGCAAGGAGAAACAUUAAUCAAUAAGCAAUCACUUUAUUAAAUACUUUUUAUGUGCCAGGUACUAUGCUAAGCAUUAAGGAUACAAAGAAAAGAUAGCUAGGUGGUACAGUGAGCUGAGCGAUGGCCUGGAAUUAGGAAGUUCAAUUCCAGCUUCUGACACUUACUGGCCCCUAUGACUCUGGGCAAGUCAUUUAACAUCUGUUUGCUUCAGCUUACUCAUCUGUAAAAUGGGAAUGAUAUUAACACGUACCUCUUAGGGUUGUUGUUGGGAUCAUCCAUGAUAAUAAUUGUAAAGCACUUGAGCAUAAUUCCUGGCACUUAGUAAGCACUAUAUAAAUAUGAACUAUUAUUAAAAACAAUUUCUUCCUUCAAGUAAUGGAGGAAUCAAAAAUAUAUAAACUGAUAUGUGCAAAGAUAAAUAUAGAAUAAGUGAAAGUAGGUAGAAACUCUAAAGAGGUAGACUGAGACUUGAUGUCAGGAAAAACUUGAUAACAAGUAGAGCUGUUCAAAAAGGGUAAUGGACUUUCUCAAGAACUGGGUUCCCCUUCCUGUAUCUUUUUUUUUAAACCCAUAUCUUCCAUCUUAGAGUCAAUACUGUGUAUUGGCUCCAAGGCAGAAGAGUGGUAAAAGCUAGACAAUGGGGGGUCAAGUGACUUGCCCAGGGUCACACCUAUAUCUUUUCACAUGGGAACUAUAUAACUAUUUAUCUGUUAUGUUAUAUUGGGGAUUCCUUUCAUAAAAGAGUUGGGUUAGAUACUCACUUGGGGUCUUUUCUGAUUCCAAAUACUGUGUUUCUAUGAUGAGGCAUCAUUUUAAGGUUUGCAGGGCUCUUUACAAAUAUUAUCUCAUUUUUUCCCUCACAACAAUCCUGGGAGGUGGGUGCUAUUAUAAUCCCUAUUUUACAUUUAAGGAAACUUAGGCAAAUGAUAUUAAGUGACUUGUUCCUAUUCAUACAGUAAGUGCCUGAGUCAGUAUUCAAACACAGAUCUUCAUGACUUCAGGUGAAGCACUCUGUCAACUGUACUUCUUAGCUGCUCUAAGCAUAAGAUAUGGAUACUCUGAAGCACCUAAUGCACCCCUUGUACCAUGCCUUAAAUUUAUUAUUUUUUUAUAGAAAGACCUAUUUUAGGUCCUUCUUUGGAAAAUGUAGAAUAUUAAAAAGGCUAAUAUAGAUUUUCCUUAGGACUUUCUAUAUUAAAAAGAUUAAUUUUAGGUAAGUGGCAUGUGAGAAAAUGACUUCCCAUAUAGGAAGAGAACCUAUACUUUUUAACAGUUCUUCAGAAAGGUGUUAUCUAAAUUUCCUUCCUGCUAUCCUGCCAUUGCUUGUUGAUUUUUUAUUUCCCAGGGAACUCUGUAUGCUACUGCCAAAUCACAGUCCCAGUUUAUUCAUAAGGCUUCCAGUUUUGGGUAAAUCGUACAGGUGUAAUAUGUUUCUUACCAAAGAUUUUUAUUACUCUCUAUUUCCUUCUUUCCAGGAUCAUUUAAAACAAGUUUAGGCCUUACCUGGAUUAGACCAGAGUUAGAAAUAUUUAAAUCCAUCUGAAAUUGGAAGGGAUAGUCAUUGUAGUCUUAUAAUUUAAAGCACCUAAACCCUGGCAGCAGGAAGACGACUGGAUCCUCAAAUCUGUGCGAUCUCUCCUUCUGCAAGAGCCCCCUUUGUGGCCUGUAAUGCAAUAGGGAAGAUAACUCAGUCCACUUAAAUGUUUUCCAUGGCUCUUUGUAUAAGGAGUUUCUCAAAAGCCUCUGGUGACUGCUAGUAUCACAUCAGUUUGGUCCUCUUAGCAUAUCAUAUGUGCACCAUAAAUGUUAAAAACAAAAACUUGGAGACAUUGAUGACCUUUCAAACUCACUGGAUAGAGUCAUCAUAAUUUGGUAGAUUUUUGCAGAAUUUAUUUGGCAGAUUUAUUUUAUCUGAGAUUUAUUUUUGUAAGAAAAAGGAAUCUGAUUAACUAGAUAUAUAAAGAAGGAAAAGAUAUCCUUUCUGAGAUGAAUUUGCAACUUCACAUGCUCUUAUCUGAUCAUUUUAAUUGUUUUCCAUAAAACAAUUGAUUAGCACUAUUUUGUAGAUUAAGAAACUGAAGUCCAGAAGUCAGUCAAGACAUUGAUUAAAUUGGGGGAAAGAUUAACUUUAGAUUGAGAGAUGAGAGAUGGAAUAUCCCUUGUAGGGAAAAACAAGUAGGCCAGUUUGCCUGGAACAAAGAAAACAUGUCAAAAAGACUGACCAGGAGGCUGGAACUAUGUUGUGAAGAACUUUAAAUAAUAAGUAGAGCUUAUAUUUUAUCCUAAAGGCAAUAUUGAGCCUGUAGAGAAUUUUGAGCAGAGGACCGCUUUACAAAUAUUGAUUUAUUAGAAGUGCUUUUGGGGAGGGAGAGGGGGAGGUGAAUUGGAAAGAAGAGAGAAUAGAAGGAAGAAGAAUAAUUAGGUGGCCUUUGCAAAAGCCAUUUGCUUCUAGGCAAAAGAUAAUGAAGGGUUCCUUAAGGGUUGUAGCUUUGUGAGGGGAGAGAACAAGGGAAUGGAUUCUAAGGGUGCUAUAGAAGGGGAAUACACUUAAACAUGGCAACUGAUUGGAUACCAGGAGCAAAGGACAGGAGAAAAUUAAAGUUGACUCUGAGUUUGAGAAACCAUGAAAGGAUCAGCAGAAAUAAGGAAAUUAGGAAGAGGGGAAGAUUUGAGGGGCAAGAUAUUGAUUUGUCGACUUUGAAAUGCCUCUGGAACAUCCAUUUGGAAAUAUCUAAGAGGCAAUUAGUAAUAUAGGGACUGGAUUUCUGAGAGGGACUGAGGAUAGAUAUAUAGAUUUAGGAGUCAUCUAAAAUAGGAUACAUUGAUCUAAAGGAACUGAAAAGAUCAAUCGAGAGAGAGAGAGAGAGAGAGGCCUGGGCAGAUCAUCCACAUUUUAGGGGUGUGCAUAGAUAUUGAUCUUUCUGAGGAGUAGACAAACAAGUAGGAGGAAAACCAAGAGAUAAAACCCAUGGAGGAAAGAGUAACCAGGAAUUACUGUUUCUUUGAAUAUUUUUUAAUAAACUACAUUGUUCUAGGUUAAAAUUCAUAUUUUCAGCAGUAGCAUUGAGCAUUAAUAAUGACUAAAAUUAUCUCUAUUGAAUGUUCUUUUAGGUUUAAAACAGAAUCCUCCAAUGUAAUGAAACGUGAAUAAUCUAAUUUUAAACUUAUUAAGUUGAUAUUCCACCAGAUUUUAUCAUAUUUUAACAUUGAAUUUACUUAACUUUGAUAUUAUAGCUCAGGGUUGACAAUGUCAAGUAAUUAUUAAUACUAUGAUGUGAAUAUUUUCCUCUCUUGGGUAACAAAGACAUAAAACUUAAACAAUUUGGUAUCAGUUCACUAUCAGUUAGGGAUGUAGCCCACCUUUGAGAAUUUCUUUAUUUUGGAAUUCUGGAGAUAAUGUAUUAUCAUCAAUUUGGAGGAAGUUAAUAAAAUUUGCAGAUUUGUGACAAUUAAUAGUAAACUCAACAAUAAAGAUGGAAUUACAGAUAGUAUCUCUAGCUUCCUUCCAAAGUUUAGUUUAAAUGUUACUUUCUAAAUGUCUUUAUAGAGCCACUGCCUAGAAUAGUACUGAUACAUAGUAGGAGUUGAUUAAAUAUUUGCUGAUUGAUUGAUUUAAAGUUAUUGAAAUUUUUCAACCUUUUUUUGUAGUAAAGCUUUCAUCUUGUGAUAAUAUAUUAUCUGUCACACUUAGAUUUUAUUCUCUUUCCAGCUCUUGUCCAAUAAUGCAACUUUCCAAUUCUGUUCUGUUAGAUUAGAUUUAAAAAAAAAAGGCAAACACUAGAAUCCUGAUGUAACAGCAACCUGCUUGGAAGAAAUAUUCUUUAUAAAUAUGAGGGACAACCUUUUUUGAAAUAUUUUUCAUAUAGCCUCAUGUCUCUGCAUGUGUUUCUGCAGUUAUGUAUCAUUAUCAACAAUAGCAAUCAGAAAAGAGUAUAGGCCUUCUCAUUUCCUGUUUCAUAUGUAUAUCAUGAGGUCAUUUAGCUAGCACAUCUUCUCUGCUUUGGUAAGAAUAGAUUAUAUGGAAGUUUCUGUCCUUCUCUAACUCUUGACCAAUAUCUGUGAGCUGAGGGCUGUCCAUACCAAAUAGGGACUGAGAGACUAAUAGCCUUUGCCUUAGCCUCAUAGUUCAUUAGUGUUGCUCUUACUGACCCUCAGAGUACAUCUGUACAAGAUUUUCAGGCAGGAUGUUGUUACUCUCCUUUAAUAGGAAAAUAUCCUACAGGAUUUACAGCAUGUGUGUAUGUGUGUGUUCAUGAAUAGCACAGAGUUAGGUUUUGGAGGUAUUUAGAGUAUCAUAUUCAAGAGGAAGGUAAGCAUCAGAUGUACUCAGAGGAAAAGUACAUAUUAUGUAUCCAAAUCUAGAACCACUUUGUGGUUAGUAUCAUUUUUAUUUCUUAUAUUAUGAAUCAGCAGGAUUUUUUAAAUGAAGGAUUGAAAUAGAUAAUUUUAAUAUAGUCUCUUCCAGUUCUAAUAUUCUAUGAUUUGUACGCCAUGUUAUUAUAACAUUUCAAAUACUCUAGAAAUACUUAGUAGUUGGAGUUUUGUUACUUUAUGAAUUAAAUCUGUUAUCUUAGUUUAUAUUUUCCAGGGCUGAAAUGCUUAAGUAAAAGGUGCUUUUUAGUUGAGUAUUUCAUGAUAAGUCCAUGUUUUUUUCUAUAGCUCCAAACACUUCUCCCAAUACCUUGCACAUGGGAGGACCCUUCAAAAUGUAGAAUGAAUGAAUGAAUGAGGUUUUAUUUCUCUUAGACACACAUUAUAGAAUGGACUUAGAGGGGAUUAAGAGAGACUUAGUCCAUUCCUCUACAUUUAGACAGGUAUCACUUAAAGCUCCUUGGUCUCUGAUCUUGUCAGUCAUUGAAUUGGAGAGCUGUACAGACAGAUGUUCAGUACCAGUUUUGAGAGGAAAGCUGUGUCUUCCAUACUGAUCCUGAGGAAAUGGUGUGGGAGAAGGUGCUGCUAUUCAUCUUAGUAAGGUGCAUGGGUCUUACUCUGGAUGAGGACUUCAACUCCAAAAGAGGAGAAGGUAAGUCAUUGUUUAAGAAUGUUCAUUUAAAAGUUCAUUGUGGUAUUAUUGUAUUAUGGAAAUCGAGGCUAAAAACUCUGUCUCUGUCCCUGUGCUUUUUCAUUAGGGGCUGUAAGCCCAAGAAUGAGGAAUUUCCUAUCUCAAAUUUGACAAAGGUGAUGCAGGGUUACCCACGUCUCAGCUAUAAGCCUUUUUUUUCUUCCUAUAGAUGUACCCAAUUUUGUUCCAGAAUUUUUUUAAACCAACAACCCCUUCCCUUUAUUUAAAUAAAUAUAAUUGGAUUAAAACUAUGUGAUAUGGUUAUUUUACAAGGUGUGGUGAAAAAUCCAUCAACAUAAAAACAUGGAAUAUUUUCUCUCUUUCAUUGUUUUCCUUACCUAGUCCAUUUAAAGGCCAAACUUUAUUAAAUAGAGAACUGUCCUAGGUCACAAUUUUGAUGAACCAUUGAAUACUUUCUGUUAAAGUUCAAAACUCUGUGUCAUUUUCAUGGCUGAGGUAUCACUUUAGUGUUUGAUUUUUAUACAGUCAUAAUCUCUGAUAGUGAAAGGAAAACAUGAGCAUGAAGGUUGAAUGAGUGACUUAUCUUUACCAAAACUGUGUAUUGACUGAUUUUUUUUAUAACACAUAUUUUAUACCUGGGCAGGGAGUAGAAUACAAUUCUCUUUAGUUUCAGAUAAUUCACUACACAGAAGACUUGCUCUAUAGGCUGGUAUUGCAGCCUUAUUAGCAAAAGGAGCAUUCAAUAUUGAAUUACUGGCAUAGUUUCCUGGGGAUAGUAAUUGGCAGUUACAGGGUUUUUGUGUGUUUCAAUAGAAGCAAUUGCUUAGAAUGUGUGAAAUUUUAUAGAGGCACCUCUCAGACAGUCAUUUUUGUUAUCUGUCCUAUAGAUGUAUUGCUUAUUUUGGGGUCACAUUCCUGUUAGUGAAGAUUUACCAAAUAAAAAAGUAUAAGGUUUUUUAAAAGGCACUUUUGAAAAAGUAAUGGUGAUUUAAUUUGAUUUCUUUGAGGAUAGUUCAGUGUUUUUUAAUGUAUCUUAUUGUUGAGGCAGUUCCCAAUUUAUGUAAUUCAUGCUUAAAAUGGACUAUUCUAUGCAAAUAACCAUUCUACACUGGGCAAGUACUCCCCUCUAUUCUAUGGCCCCUGUUAUUGCUAGUAAUUAUCUUUCCUUUCAUGCUUUACUCUGCUUCAGCCAGUCCAAGAGGCAGGUAUACUAGCUGGCCAUUUGGCCUUACUUCUUAGCUUUGCUGACCACAUCCUUUCCAUUUUCAGCAUUUUGGCCUUCCCUUUCCUCCCCUACUACCUUCAGGCUUAGGAGCUAUUAGCCAGCUACCUUUUUUAUCUCAUGUUUCUUCCACCUUCCCACACACCACCACAAUUACUACCUUUUCUUUUUUGUUGGGAUUCUAGUAGAGUACUGCUGUGUGUUCAGGGAUUAGACAAUGAAUGUAAGUCCUUUAGCGAUACCAGAUCCACCUUCUGGGUCAAGUCUUGAGUCCAGACUGGACGUA